rnacentral:misc_RNA from 1 species
CUCUCUUAAACCUUUGGGUUUAGUUAUGGGGGUUGUGUUUCUUUCGUCAAACAAAGAAACUCCCCUGAAAUGGCUCGGCAUGCUUCCCUUACCUUGUUAAGUAGCUUUAGCUGGCUUUAUUAUGUAGGUUUUACCAAUAUUAAUAAACACCCAGUUAAUUGGCUGAAAGGUUUGUGGUAAGAAGCCUAAACAAAAUUUUGUUUUAGAACAUAAA